rnacentral:misc_RNA from 1 species
GCAGAACUAAGCCAGGGCAAACACAGUGAUAACGUCUGCCUGUCUCAGCUUCUGCAGACACUGUGUGAUGUUCUGAAUGUGUAUAAUAUUUUUUGCGGCAGAUGGACGCAAGUGGCGAGGCAGUGGCGCAGUAGGUAGUGCUGUCGCCUCACAGCAAGAAAGUCGCUGGGUCGCUGGUUUGAACCUCAGCUCAGUUGGUGUUUCUGUGUGGAGUUUGC